CUGGGAGACAGUGGCAUUUAGGUGGUGGAGCCCAGUGGAAGGAAGUCAUGGGGAUUGUGAAUUCUUGAAGGGGAUAUUGGAAUCCUGGUCCUUUCUUGUCUCUCUCAUUGCUUUCUGACUGCUAUUGCCUUCUAGGCCUCCUCUGCUACAUGCUCCUGCCAUGUUGUACUGUGAUGCUAUAGGCCCAAAGCAAUAGUGAUCAUGGACCUAAACUGAAACUGUGAGCCAAAAUAAAUCUUUCAUCCUUAUAUUUGAUUAAAAUCAAGUAUUAUGUAAUAGUGACAGAAAGGUGAGUAGACCUUUUAUUAAUUUUUAUUUGUUAAUCUUUAUGAAGGUUAAUUUAUAUUUUUUAUUGAUUACCUUUUAUUCAGUUUAAUUCUCUACUUUUUAAAAAAAUUCCAAAUGUUUACUCCUAUUUUACAAGUUAUGAUAAAGUGAAUAUAAAAAUUUUAAAUUUUCUCUGCAUUAAAGCAUAGGUUGUCCAUUGGUGUUCAAAUAUUCUUUCAAUUUUUAAUUUCAAUUCCUAGAUCAUCAGAGAUAUUACUUAAUUCUGUUUAUUUCACUUAUUGUAGUUAUGUGGACUGAAUUGUGUGUCCCUCCCAUCCAUAUGUUGAAUACCUAAUCCCAAUGUAACUGUAUUUGGAGGAAGGGCUUAUAAUGAUAUAAUAAAGGUUUAGAGGGUUCCUAAGGGUGGACUUUUCAUCUGAUAGGACUGUUACUAUAUAAGAAGAGGAAAAGACACUAGACGGUCUCUUUUUCUCUCCACAGGUGCACAGAAGGUCAAUUGAAGACAGGGAGACAGCAGUUGUCUACAUGCCAGGAGAGGGUGCUUACCACAAGCAAAAUUGUCCAAUUCCUUGGUAUUGGACUUUCAGCCUUCAGACCCAUGAGAAGAUAAAUUUAUGUUGCUUAAGCCACUCUAUUUAUGGUAUUUUAUUAUGGCAGCCUGGGAACACUAACACAAUAGUAAAUAUAAAACUUAUGAAGGUAAAAACCAAAGUGAGUUAUUGGGUUAACAUUCUUCAUUACAUCAUCUAGGGGUAAUUAAAUACAGUGACUUAGUGAUAAAUUAAAAAUAUUCAGAAGUGUUUCCAAAAUUUUAGCUGAAAUGCCAGACUUUCUCUCUAGCAUAGAGAUACCAGCACAGUCUGAACCAAAGGUUUCCAUGAACAUACUUCUCACUGAUGCUAUUUUUUCUCAAAUAUUCACAAUAAAGUCUAGUACAUUAUUUUAGAUAUUAUUCUUUUUAACACCACAAGAUUCAAAAAAUUUAAAAUUUCUAAUUUUAAAUUAAUUAUUAAAAUGCCUUAUAUGAAACAGUUUCAUAGAAGAUGAAUAUUUUACUGUCUCGAUUUAUAACUUGUCAAAUAAGUUGCUUUCUCAUUUUAGAAGAUAUAUGUUUUCCAACAAGUGGGACCAUAAAUUUGGAACACAGUGUAUGCUCAUAUAGAUAUAAUUAUUUUUUAAAGGCUAUUGAAUAUUUCAUGUUUGAAAAUGCUCUACUAUAUUUAAGCACUGGAUAGUUUUAACAUUUAUAAGGAUUCUUUCUUAAUAUUUUCAAUUGUUUUAUUAAAAACAAAUCUAGAUUUUAUUUUUUCAAAUGCAUUAUUAUAAAAAACUGAUCUUCUGAUUGCUUUUGUUAAUCUUUUGAUGGAUAAUUACAAUUUAAAAAAAAUCAAACCAUGGUUUUUGACAGAAUGUCACUGCCAUUCUGAUGAAUAUGUAAGUUGUAGAGGAAGAAUAUUUUUUUCAAACUUCAAGUUUUUAGUUAGAAGGGACCGCUAUCAUAAAAGACAGAUUUACAAGAGAAAAGCAGAAUUUUGUUAACAUGUAUAUUUAAUGUAUACAUGGAAGAUACUUAGACAAUGCAUAGUUCUAAGGUGGCUUUAAAUUUUUGCAUAUACAUACAAAUAUAUAUAUGUAUAUAUGAAUAUAAUCUUUCAUAAAAAAACAGUUAAUUAGAAAAGUGAUAAAAAAGGGAAAAGUACUUUGAAUCUCUAGGGGUGGUAACUUGAGGGAUGGCAAAUAAUGGCAGAUAAAGGCUAGUUAAUAAAGGCUAGUUGAUUCCUCUGGUUCCAUCUGUAAGCCAAUACAGGUCCAAAAUUGUCUCCUGUGGCCAACCUUUGUUUCCCCUGGUAGAAGAGGAGGUAGGCUUUUAUCUUCGUAAAUCUAUGUCCUGAUUUAGUCAGCUUUAUAUCACUGUGACCAAAAUACCCAACAAGAAAAUCUUACAGGAGGAAAAGUUUAUUUUGGCUCAUGGUUUCAGAGGUUUAGUGCCUGGUCAGCUAUCUCCAUUGCUCUGGGCCUGAGCAGAAGGCAGAACUUCAUGGCCGAAGGGCAAGGCAGAGGAAAGCAGCCCAGGACUUGACAGCCAGGAAGCAGAGAGGGAGCUCUGCUCACCAGGCACAAAAUAUAAACCCCAAAGGCACACUCCAAUGACCUUCAGCCACAGGGCACUACCUGCCUAUGGUUGCCAUCCAGUCAAUCCACGUUAGUUUAGGUUACAGCUCUUAUGUUGUAAUCAGUUCACUCCUGAACAUUCUUGCAUUGUCUCACACAUGAGAUUCUUGGGGGACACCUAAUAUCUAAACCAUGACACUGAUUUUAAGCAGUUGGAGGAAGGGAAGAGAGCUUUCCUGUAUCUGGUUCUUAAUUGCCUUCAGCUCAGAAAUUCUUCAUAUUUUGGGGUGGGUGACAUAUUCUGGUUUCUCAUGAAGUCUUUUAAUGAUGAACUCUGAGUACCAUUUACCUCCAAAGUAGCACGGUGGUAUAUUUUUGUUAAAAUAAUAAAAUUAUUAUUAUAGAAAUAAAAAGUAUUGUAUUAUUUUGUAAAUUUCUUGUAGUGUAAAAGGUGUUCCAGUCACUGAAGAUCCUUUAGGCUGAAGUUUAUUAUUAAUAUCACUGCUUAUUCUCUGUAGACUCAGAUACUUGAGGUAUAUGAUAUUUAAUGGAAAAUUAAUAAAUGUAUCCACUAUUGAUUAUCUCUUUAUUCUGAGUUUGUUUUUAAUGUUUUAUUGAUAAAUUUUUAAAUUUGUAAAUAUUGAAACACUAUACUUACAUAAGAAUUAUAGUGUAUGAACAAUACAACUAAAGUAGCAACUAUUCAGAAUCAGUGGCAACCAUGUGAAUUCAGUAUAGUGAUAAAAGUGUCAUACAUUAUAAAGUGC
rnacentral:lncRNA from 1 species